rnacentral:rRNA from 1 species
UGGGGAAUUUUGGACAAUGGGGGAAACCCUGAUCCAGCCAUCCCGCGUGUGCGAUGAAGGCCUUCGGGUUGUAAAGCACUUUUGGCAGGAAAGAAACGUCAUGGGUUAAUACCCCGUGAAACUGACGGUACCUGCAGAAUAAGCACCGGCUAACUACGUGCCAGCAGCCGCGGUAAUACGUAGGGUGCAAGCGUUAAUCGGAAUUACUGGGCGUAAAGCGUGCGCAGGCGGUUCGGAAAGAAAGAUGUGAAAUCCCAGAGCUCAACUUUGGAACUGCAUUUUUAACUACCGGGCUAGAGUGUGUCAGAGGGAGGUGGAAUUCCGCGUGUAGCAGUGAAAUGCGAAGAUAUGCGGAGGAACACCGAUGGCGAAGGCAGCCUCCUGGGAUAACACUGACGCUCAUGCACGAAAGCGUGGGGAGCAAACAGG